AGUGCGAACGUGGCGUUGAGGUUCGGCUCACCCUCCUCCAGCUAGCCGUCGUUGAAGGAGGGAGCGCUCGUGACGGCGCACAAGUCUGAGAUGCUGCCGACCUGCCGUCGCCUGUGCCACAUCUUGGUAGCGUCGAAACCGCCCCAGCAUGCAGCAGGAGGCCAUCGCCCCGUGGUCGCAUUCGUGCCCACGUCUCCAUCCUCGCCGCACUCCUCCAUCGCCGCCCGCCUCCCCGACGAGCAAGCCGACGCAGAACAGAGCCGAGCCCAGCCGAAGAAAUCGAGUAGCGAUCUCACUGAGUUACCCAGGAGCGAUGUGUUCUUUGGCCGUAGGAUGCGCUUCCGUGCCACACGUCUUCAAUCCAGAGAGCAAGUGUAUGAGAUGGCUGGCCGAGGAAGCCCGACCCAUGGGCCACCAGGAACAUAGCUGCCUUCCUGGUAAAUCGAUGCGGUGGAUUGAGAAGAUAUUGGCUUGGAGCAGCAGAUCGAUAGAACAUACAAAUUCGUAUAAGGGAAGCGAAUGUGAAUGUUGUUGCUUGGGUUACAAGCUAGAGACGCCUCCCUACAAAGAGAUGACUCCACAAUUUUUUAAAUACUUCCUUCAGACACCUCAAGAGCCCCUGUAUUAAACACCACUAUACAUGUCCUAAGGAUAUGUACAACCCAUUUAAUAUGGAUCCCUUGAGAAGUCUCUAAGGGGCUAAUUAAAAAAAGAGACUCGUCUCUACACGACUCUCCAUAUAUAUUGUCUCUUAACUA